CUUCCAGCCGGGUGCUGAGCACAAACAUCUGAGGCUCAGAAAGGCUGGCGUCCACGGGGACAGGAAGGGGGGCUGGCGGGGACGCCUGGACCAGUCUGUCUGGUCCACUAGACCACUGAUCUCCGGUGCCUUCUUGGAAAUGACGCGCCACACCUGAAGCCUGCAGGUGCUGAGGCCACAUUCGAUCAGACCCAAGCUUUGGGAGACCCCUGGGGAAACUUCCCACUUCCUGUCCUGAGACCAGGAACUCAUCAGAGAAACUUUGUGGAAAAUGAACUGAAGGAUGCCACCCAGGGAGAGCAUCGCCUGAGAUCCCAUCAUGCAGGCCUUCCCACAAGGGCCCGGCAGCAUGACAAGGUGAAGGCAGAGUAUGUGCAUCUCAACCACCCACUCACCCUCUUGACCAGAGAGCGCGAUUUGGCCGUGAAGGAGAAACACCAGCUCCAAGCCAAGCUGGAGAACCUAGAACAGGUCCUGAAGGUAGGCUGGCUUUCUGCAUUUGGGACCACUUCUGCUCUUUGUGAGGUCAGU
rnacentral:lncRNA from 1 species